GAUUUAUAUAGAUUAUUUUCUGAAGCCACUUAAUGCUUUGAUUCUAGCUACCCAUUGUGAAAUAGUAAGUAAACAGUUUUACUGAAAUAAACUCUAUAGAUAGAUGCAGUAUGAGGAGCUAGUAAAGUAGAAAAUUUAUUUUGCUUUGCACAAAAAGUUUAUUUUAGCAGACAGCCUCAGGUAGGUUUCUAUAACAGCCAUUACCUUUGAAAUCUAUCUUCUGUAGUUUAAUAUAAAUAGGAAAAUAUCCUGAUUCUGUAGCAAGUAAGUUGUUUGCUCUUUGUCUUUUAAGAAAAACUAGGGGAAAAUGUUUCAAUUAGUCAUUCUUCCCAGUAGCUAAUGAAGCUGACUUUUAAAUGGAAGGCUGUGAGCUUUGCAGAUGCUGCCGCUGCUGCCCGGAGCCCCCUGCUUCCAGCCAUGGUCAACCCCACCAUGUUCUUCGACAUUGCCGUGGAUGAUGAGCACUUGGGCUGUGUCUCCUUCAAGGUAAGGGGCCUGGAAGUCAAGAAGUGACUGCUCAUCUAAUCCACGAAACUAUGUUAACAGAUUGGAGCUGUUUUUUGCAGACAAGGUUCCAAAGACAGCAGAAAACUUCCGUGCUCUGAGCAUUGGGGAAAAAGGAUUUGGUUAUAAGGGUUCCUGCUUUCACAGAAUUAUUCCAGGGUUUCUAUGUCAGAGUGGUGACUCCACAUGCCAUAACAGCAUUGGUGGUGAGUCCAUCUGCAGGGAGAAAUUUGAUGACAGGAACUUCAUCCUAAGCAUACAGGUCCUGGCUUCUUGUCCAUGGCAAAUGCUGGACGCAGCAUGAACACUUCCCAGUUUUUUAUCUGUACAGCCAAGACUCCGAGACUGAGUGGUUGGAUGGCAAGCAUGUGGUCUUUGGCAAGGUGAAAGAUGGCAUGAAUAUUGUGGAGGCCAUGGAGCACUUUAGGUCCAGGAAAGGCAAGAUCAGCAAUCGGCGAGAUGAUCACAUUGCUGAUUGUGAACAACUGUAAUUAAUUUGACUUGUGUUCAUCUUAAAAAAAAAAAAAAUACUGUGACAGACCAAGGUAAAUCGUUUUUGAUAAUUACAGAAGUGUGAUUUCGUAAUCAGCUCUCAAACAUAAUGUUCCUUAAUUUAAAAGCUCGAACACUAAAUUAUAAAUUGAAGUGGUUGGAAUAAUUACAGUCAUGUCUCUAGAAACAAGUCUUUAGUAGCAAAAAAGAAAUUAGCAAGAGAAGAAAACUCUUCAGAACUUUGAAAGGAAAUAGUUUUCGUUGAUAGAAGUUUUCUUAGAUGGAAAUUAACAUGAUAAAGAAGUGACAGGCCCGAUGUGGUGGUGCAUGCUUUUAACACCAACAGUGGGAGGCCAAGAUGGAAGGAUCCCUUGAGCCCAGGAAUUCAAGACUAGCCUGAACAACACGGCAAAACUCCAUUGCUACUAAAAAUUUAAAAAUUUAGCUGGACAUGGUGGCACCUGCCUAUAGCCACAGCUACUUGGGAAGCUGAGGUGGGAGGAUCGCUGGAGCCCAAGAGGUCAAGGCUGCAGUGAGCUGUGAUCACCGCUGUACUCCAACCCGGGCAAGAGUGAGACCCUGUCAAAAAAAAAAAAAAAAAAAAAGGAAGGGCCAACUAUUAUGAGGGUUUCUACUAAAACUUUUAAGUUGAUAAGAUGCAGAGAAUUGGGGGAAUGUAUAGUAAAUCAGAUUUCAUUUAGUUAGAUUAUUUACCACACAAAUCACUCUCCCCCUAACAUUUGUCAUAAGAGCCAUGUGUUCACAUGUACUAUAGACCAGUAUUUCACUGUGGAAACCACGGGUGGCGUGGCAAAGGAGGCAGUGUCCGUGACUGUGCCACUCUCCACAGGCCCCUUCCUGCUGUCCUGCUUCUUCUACUCCUCAGUGUCUGGACCGGCACUCUGGGUUUCCUUCCCAGCAGAAAACCAAAGGGCCAGAGAGGUCUAAAAACACACACCACUCGGCAGGUAAUAAUUUCCCCAUGUACUGUCUUGAACACACAGCCUUUCCCAAAAGACUGCUCCCUCCAGCUACUGAGGAAUGAUGACAAGAAAAGGCCGAAUUGCAGUGUCUCCAUCAGCAGUUUGCUCUCUCUAUGGGCACACAAUGACAAAAUAUCCUGAAGCGAACCAAUAGUCUGACCUCAGUAACAGGACUGGAAGCUUUGUGCCAUGGGAGUGGUCAAGAAAGGCAUCCCAAAGAUAACUGAGCGAUUUAAAAAUCAUAAUAGACCUUCAGGAAUAGGGUUGUAUUAUGGGCUAGUGAGAAGCCUGGGAACACCAGGAUUUUGUGUGGACUGAUUGCAGGUAUCAGAUCCAGGAUUAUACAGGUGAUUUGAAGAUUUUGAAGCUAGAAAUUGGAACUAGAAAAUCCCAAGAAUCCAAGGUGUCUUAACGUGACAGUUGAACUCAUUUGAUUAUACUUAAAAGCUUAUUGCA